rnacentral:lncRNA from 15 species
CAAAAAUAACUCUACGGGGUAAACCAACAUUUAAUGUGCUUCUCCAAACAUCAGCCUCUUGCUGACCUUUUGCCUCUGUGACAAGAGACUAAGUAAACUGCACUUAAGAAAGUUUAUAAAUGUUGCAUGUGCACUGAAUGUUUCCUUAGCUAAUCAAGCCCAGCUAGAGAAAACAAACUGCCUUUAAUUUCAGCUUAUGACUUGUGACUUGUGACUUGUGAGAGGUUACCACUCUAGUUCACCAAAAAGGACACAUUCCACAAAACAUACCAGCAACUAAAAAAGACAGCCUGUUUGUAAUUUGUCCUCUCAUCGUUGUUCUACAAUAACCUUACCAGACCGGGUUAUUUAGUGAACCAAGCUUCCUGUCCAGUGGUACUGUGAUGUGAACAGCCUCUGCACUACAUCACAGUUACUCCAUGCAUUUAGUUAAAAGCAACAUGCUAUGUGGAAAUUUCCUAUAAAACCCUUCCCUUACCUAUUCAAGUGAGUAAUAAACAGUGUAAUUCCAUUCAUUUUAGUUAACCAUAAUCUACUUGCAAGCAUUCCAGUUAGUAGUUGAAAAUAAUAUUAAAUUAAUAUUAAAAUUUUCAUAAAUUUGCUUCAGUCCCAGAUGGGUGGGACUUCAUCAUUACAAAUCAGAUAAGCUGUUGAUCAAAGCAAAACCCAUCCAAGUUGUUACUUAAGUUAACAAUUAUUGGCUGAUAUGAUCUCAUCUCUGUUUCAACAGGGCUUAAAUGUCUCAUCUGUGAACCUUGGAUUUGUUUGGUCCCUCUUGUUUGUACAGGAAGUCGGCACCACACCAAACCUGCCCAUCCCUCGUAUAAACAACAGAGAGAGAAGAUGUUGAAACAACUUCCAAUGUCCCAGAGAAAGACAUACAACCUCCUCUCCACCAUGGAGACUCUCCUGGG